GGGGAUGUAGUUCAGUGGUAGAACAGUUGCCUAGCAUAUGCAAGGCCUUGGAUUCCAUACCAAGCACCCCCC
rnacentral:tRNA from 1 species